UGACCAGGAAACACCCGCUUCCUGACAAGAGUAACCUGCAAGGGGCUCUUCAGAAGCUCCUGGGAACCCAGAAAGGCCAGUCAGUCCUCAGCACAGGGCAGGCCUUCCUUUUCUUCCCACAAGAGCCCCACAGAUCAUCUUGCUAGGAGAAUCCCCAAAUCGGUUGGGUUUAAUUGUAUUAGGAUCACCCAAGGUUUUUAAAAAUACAGAUUCUUGGGCCCUCUUGUGGAGAUCAGCAGGCUUGGGGCAGGGCCCAGGAAUCUGCUAAAACCUCCCUAGGUAAUUCUGAUUCUCGCCAGGUGUGGAAACCACUAAAGGCCCUGGCUGUCCUUGUUACAAACGAGGAAACCGAAACCUGCAGGAACUGAGCCCACCCAAAGGGUCAGAGCCAGUAACGGGAGAGGAAGCGGUCUGGAGCAGGAGGGGUAGGUGGAAGGAGAUACGGAGGGAAGCUCCCUCAGUGCAAGCGUCAGAGGGGAGGCCUCAGGGAGGCCGUGUGUCCUGGGCCUUUCUCUCCUCCCCUUCAAGCCAGAACAUGCAAUUGUCCGAUACUGGAUUGUGAUUUAGGACCGAGCCUCUCUCGACAAGCUAUCCCCUGUGGCACAAGGCAGAGGUAGCGGGGUUGGGCCGUCUGGUUCCCAGAGUGUACAGAAGGGUGGCGGCCCAGGCAGAUGAUCUGCGCUGAAAGAAACUAUCCUCCUUCGGAAGGAAACCAAAAGGGUCGCCAUGGCAACCUGCAGUGCGCUGGCCUGGUUGGGCUCUGUGCCAUCCUCCCAAACUUGGGCCCAGGAGAGGUGCAGCAGUAUUCAGGCAAAUGCCGGAGGGGCAGGGGCGCCCCAUCCCCCUCGCCGGUCCCAGAACCCACAGGGAGGCCGGGCUGUACCCCGGAGCCGACCUCGGAGCCCGCCUGGAACACACCCAGACACCGGUAAUCCGGGAGCACGGGAGUUCUGAGCACCUGCAGUAGCUGGGCCGGGGGAGCACACUGCGGAGGUGGGGGAGACAGGCCUCCGCCCUUCUGUUACUCAGCCUAAUUGUGUGCCCAAGACCCACCGCUCAUGGAACCACAGCCCUCAUGCAAGACAGCAUGCAAUUAGCUGGGAGAAGAAUCCAAGGAUCGGAGAGUACAGUGCCUAACAAGCAAUGGAGUACUCUUCCCGAGGGAUUCUGGCAGGUAGCGACUUUGAUAGACUCUUAGAAGAGGUGUCUUAAAGGAACACAGAUGCACAAAGAGGCAUGACCAAGGAUGUUCGCUGCUGCAACGCGUAUGUAGUAAGAUACUAUAAACAACACAAAUGCCCGCCACUCAGAAAACGGUUGAGUAAAAUCGUGGCAAUCCAUAUGCUGGGAUAGAACAGUGAUUACGUGGCGAGAUUGUUGAGACUUAUUGUAAGUGAAAAACCAAGCUGUAAAACAAAACUACAAUGUGGUUCCAUCUAUGUAAAAAAGGAAGAGAAACAAAAGCAACUGUGAAGUAAAAUUAUAUAUUUAUACACACAGAGAUGGAUAGAAAAAAUCAUGUCGUAUAUACACCAAACUCACAACACCAAGCACCUCUGCUGGAGGAAUUAGAAUCACGGGGGAGGGAUGAGUUUUUCGCGACAAGAAUGCAUU